UGUCAGCGGCGGACGGGUGAGUAACGCGUGGGAACGUGCCUUCUGGUUCGGAAUAACUCAGGGAAACUUGAGCUAAUACCGGAUACGCCCUUUUGGGGAAAGGUUUACUGCCGGAAGAUCGGCCCGCGUCUGAUUAGCUAGUUGGUGGGGUAACGGCCUACCAAGGCGACGAUCAGUAGCUGGUCUGAGAGGAUGAUCAGCCACACUGGGACUGAGACACGGCCCAGACUCCUACGGGAGGCAGCAGUGGGGAAUAUUGGACAAUGGGCGCAAGCCUGAUCCAGCCAUGCCGCGUGAGUGAUGAAGGCCUUAGGGUUGUAAAGCUCUUUUAUCCGGGACGAUAAUGACGGUACCGGAGGAAUAAGCCCCGGCUAACUUCGUGCCAGCAGCCGCGGUAAUACGAAGGGGGCUAGCGUUGCUCGGAAUCACUGGGCGUAAAGGGCGCGUAGGCGGUCUUUUAAGUCGGGGGUGAAAGCCUGUGGCUCAACCACAGAAUUGCCUUCGAUACUGGGAGACUUGAGUUCGGAAGAGGUUGGUGGAACUGCGAGUGUAGAGGUGAAAUUCGUAGAUAUUCGCAAGAACACCGGUGGCGAA
rnacentral:rRNA from 1 species